rnacentral:rRNA from 1 species
AGCCCUUCGGGGUGGAUUAGUGGCGAACGGGUGAGUAACACGUGGGCAAUCUGCCCUUCACUCUGGGACAAGCCCUGGAAACGGGGUCUAAUACCGGAUAACACUCUGUCCCGCAUGGGACGGGGUUAAAAGCUCCGGCGGUGAAGGAUGAGCCCGCGGCCUAUCAGCUUGUUGGUGGGGUGAUGGCCUACCAAGGCGACGACGGGUAGCCGGCCUGAGAGGGCGACCGGCCACACUGGGACUGAGACACGGCCCAGACUCCUACGGGAGGCAGCAGUGGGGAAUAUUGCACAAUGGGCGAAAGCCUGAUGCAGCGACGCCGCGUGAGGGAUGACGGCCUUCGGGUUGUAAACCUCUUUCAUCAGGGAAGAAGCGAAAGUGACGGUACCUGCAGAAGAAGCGCCGGCUAACUACAUGCCAACAGCCGCGGUAAUACGUACGGCGCAAGCGUUGUCCGGAAUUAUUGGGCGUAAAGAGCUCGUAUGCGGCUUGUCACGUCGGAUGUGAAAGCCCGGGGCUUAACCCCGGGUCUGCAUUCGAUACGGGCUAG